AAACCUCUUAUUUCCAAGGGCCAUAAAACUUCACUCUGAGCUAAAGUACAGCACAGAAGGUCAUAACUUGAAAAAGAAUUUUAUUUUUAAAGAAAAGUUGAUACACACUGAACUGAUAGUUUUCAAGUUAGAGUGGGGCAAAGGACAAGGUUUUUUAUUUUCUAUUUCAAAUGCAUUUCUGUCCUAAUCUAGCUCGAUAACUGUAUUGGUUUUUCUUGAAGAAAAAGUGAAUUUUUCUAGCUUGUAACUCACUAACGCGGAUGGCUCUUUUAGAAGGAUUUUAAAGAGUAAAGGGAAGAGAUCUCCAUGUUUGUGGAUCAUUUAUACAUCAUGGCAUGACUCAACAAGUAUUAAAAAGCUGAUCUUUGCCUGGAAACAUGGAAGACUUGGGUACAUUCUGCUGAAUUCUUUUCAACAUGCAUAUUUAAAUGAUGCUGUUAUACUAUGUCUUCCAAC
rnacentral:lncRNA from 1 species